rnacentral:rRNA from 1 species
GGGGACGUGCGGCUUGCUAUACAUGGCAGUCGAGCGAAUGGAUUAAGAGCUUGCUCUUAUGAAGUUAGCGGCGGACGGGUGAGUAACACGUGGGUAACCUGCCCAUAAGACUGGGAUAACUCCGGGAAACCGGGGCUAAUACCGGAUAACAUUUUGAACCGCAUGGUUCGAAAUUGAAAGGCGGCUUCGGCUGUCACUUAUGGAUGGACCCGCGUCGCAUUAGCUAGUUGGUGAGGUAACGGCUCACCAAGGCAACGAUGCGUAGCCGACCUGAGAGGGUGAUCGGCCACACUGGGACUGAGACACGGCCCAGACUCCUACGGGAGGCAGCAGUAGGGAAUCUUCCGCAAUGGACGAAAGUCUGACGGAGCAACGCCGCGUGAGUGAUGAAGGCUUUCGG